AUUGAACGCUGGCGGCAGGCCUAACACAUGCAAGUCGAACGAGUGGCGGACGGGUGAGUAAUGUCUGGGAAACUGCCUGAUGGAGGGGGAUAACUACUGGAAACGGUAGCUAAUACCGCAUACCAUCAGAUGUGCCCAGAUGGGAUUAGCUUGUUGGUGGGGUAAAGGCUCACCAAGGCGACGAUCCCUAGCUGGUCUGAGAGGAUGACCAGCCACACGUGAACUGAGACACGGGCCAGACUCCUACGGGAGGCAGCAGUGGGGAAUAUUGGACAAUGGGCGGAAGCCUGAUGCAGCCAUGCCGCGUGUAUGAAGAAGGCCCUCGGGUUGUAAAGUACUUUCAGCGGGGAGGAGUUACCCGCAGAAGAAGCCCCGGCUAACUCCGUGCCAGCCGCCGCGGUAAUAC
rnacentral:rRNA from 1 species